rnacentral:rRNA from 1 species
AUUGAACGCUGGCGGCAGGCCUAACACAUGCAAGUCGAACGAGUGGCGGACGGGUGAGUAAUGUCUGGGAAACUGCCCGAUGGCGGGGGAUAACUACUGGAAACGGUAGCUAAUACCGCAUACCAUCGGAUGUGCCCAGAUGGGAUUAGCUAGUAGGUGGGGUAAAGGCUCACCUAGGCGACGAUCCCUAGCUGGUCUGAGAGGAUGACCAGCCACACUGGAACUGAGACACGGCCCAGACUCCUACGGGAGGCAGCAGUGGGGAAUAUUGCACAAUGGGGGCAAGCCUGAUUCAGCCAUGCCGCGUGUAUGAAGAAGGCCUUCGGGUUGUAAAGUACUUUCAGCGGGGAGGCGUUACCCGCAGAAGAAGCACCGGCUAACUCCGUGCCAGCAGCCGCGGUAAUAC